AGAACGACUCUCGGCAACGGAUAUCUCGGCUCUCGCAUCGAUGAAGAACGUAGCGAAAUGCGAUACUUGGUGUGAAUUGCAGGAUCCCGUGAACCACCGAGUCUUUGAACGCAAGUUGCGCCCGGAGCCUUCUGGCCGAGGGCACGUCUGCCUGGGCGUCACG
rnacentral:rRNA from 1 species